UUUUUACUCUGUUUAGGGUUUGCAAGAAUAUGUUACUUUCUUGGUUAUUGUUUUGUUUAGUGUUUACUAUUAAAGUUUUACACGUUCAAGGCUUUAACUAGAUAAUUAACAAUGAAAUAAAAACUGAAGAUGGAAAUGAUAUUAAACGGUUGACCAGAAAAGUACGCCACGUUGAAACGGUUACUGAGACGUUAUUAAUGCAUAUUUUAAAAGAACUACAUCAUAAUUAUCCAAAUUUAAAAAAGAAAAGAAGGAAGGAGGAUUUUGACAAAAUAGCGCACAAUUUAAGGAUAAGACUACGACAGUAUUUGAGAACUAAUAAACGAAAAAAUUAGAACUAUAGUUUUUCGUAUAAAUUU
rnacentral:misc_RNA from 1 species